rnacentral:rRNA from 1 species
ACUCCUACGGGAGGCAGCAGUAAGGAAUAUUGGUCAAUGGACGCAAGUCUGAACCAGCCAUGCCGCGUGGAGGAUGAAGGCCCUCUGGGUUGUAAACUUCUUUUAUCUGGGACGAAAAAGGGACUUUCUAGUUCAACUGACGGUACCAGAGGAAUAAGCACCGGCUAACUCCGUGCCAGCAGCCGCGGUAAUACGGAGGGUGCAAGCGUUAUCCGGAUUCACUGGGUUUAAAGGGUGCGUAGGUGGGUUGGUAAGUCAGUGGUGAAAUCUCCAGGCUUAACUUGGAAACUGCCAUUGAUACUAUUAAUCUUGAAUACCGUGGAGGUCAGCGGAAUAUGUCAUGUAGCGGUGAAAUGCUUAGAUAUGACAUAGAACACCAAUUGCGAAGGCAGCUGGCUACACGAAUAUUGACACUGAUGCACGAAAGCGUGGGGAUCAAACAGGAUUAGAUACCCUGGUAGUCCACGCCCUAAACGAUGGAUACUCGACAUACGCGAUAUACUGUGUGUGUCUGAGCGAAAGCAUUAAGUAUCCCACCUGGGAAGUACGAUCGCAAGAUUGAAACUUAAAGGAAUUGACG